rnacentral:rRNA from 1 species
CCCUUAGAUGUUCUGGGCCGCACGCGUGCUACACUGACCGGCGCAACAAGUUUCUUUCCUUGGCUCGAUAGGCCUGGGUAAUCUUUGAACGCCGGUCGUGAUGGGGAUAGAUCCUUGCAAUUUUUGAUCUUCAACGAGGAAUUCCUAGUAAAUGCGAGUCAUCAUCUCGCGUUGAUUACGUCCCUGCCCUUUGUACACACCGCCCGUCGCACCUACCGAUUGAAUGGUCCGGUGAAGCGUUCGGACCGUGGCCUUUGGACGGUUCGCCGUCUGUUGGCUGCGGGAAGUUCGUUAAACCUUAUCAUUUAGAGGAAGGAGAAGUCGUAACA